GGGCGAUAUCAGCUCACUGCAACCUCCACCUCCCAUCUGAGCCUACUGAAUUAGUGGCUACCGGCAUGAACCACCACACCUGGCUCACUUUUGUAUUUUUUUGUACACGUAGGGUUUCACGAUGUUGCCGGGGCUGGUCUUGAACUCCUGAGCUCAGGUGAUCCUCCCGUCGCUGCCUCCUAAAGUGCUAGAAUUAGAGGUAAGAGCCACCGCGCCCCACCUGUCCUUGUGUAUCUCUGUUCAAAUGUUACUGAGGAGCAUUUACAGUGUAACCUGUGGUCUAUCCUGGAGAAUGUUUGUGUAUGAGACAAUAUAUAUUCUUCAACAUCUUAGAUUCCAUUUUGGACGCUCCCAUCUGGACUGUGUGUCCCUGUGCUGGAACUCAAGUCAACACUUGGCUCUCCGUCCAUUGCUGUUCUCUAGAAAUCCUGCCCGAUUCUCUUGGUUAAAUAUGAGAUUCCAUUUUGGAUGCCCCCAUCGGAACUGUGUGUCCCUGUCCUGGAACUCAAGUGAACACUUGGCUCAAAAUCCGUGGCUGUUCUCUAGAAAUUCAGCCCAAUUCUCGUGGUGAAAUAUAAGAGACUGCGUGUCCCUGUGCUGGAACUCCGGUGAACACCUGGCUCAGUAUCCAUCGCUCUUCUCUAGAAAUCCAGCCCAAUUCUCUUGGUUAAAUAUAAGGUAUGUAUGUCUACAAGGCAUUGCUUUUUCUCUUUGG
rnacentral:lncRNA from 1 species